AACCAAACGAAUCAAAUCAUAUGGUGGUUUAUUUUUUGGGUAUUGAAAAAAAAAUAGUUGUUUGCUGCUUUUAUCCACUGGAUGGCGACAUUUCGCCCGAAACGCGUCAUCCGACGACCGCUUGCUAAUUAACAUUAAUUAGUAUCUGGUGUGCCUUCGUGCGUUCCUCCUGAUGGAUUCGAUGUUGUGCCGACGCGUUCUACUUAAAACUCGGGAAAAUAAGAACAAUUCCACCUUCACACUACGCUUGUUUGUCAAUUUCAAGUUUAAUUGAAUUGAAAUGAACGUGCGCGCUACUUGAUUUCACGGUUGUCGUCAUCCUGUGAGUGACUGCAGGGUGCCACGAGAGUUUGGGGGCGUGUAACUGCCAUAACGAGGGUGGGGGCGUGUGUGUUUGUGCGUGUGCGUGGAAAAGCUGCAAGUGCCCACGCCGCCUUGACUUACACGCAAUUCCUCAGCGCCUCCUGUCGCGGAUCGCGGACGUCGGAGGUGCAACAAGUUUUUCGGCGGUGUACGUGAACGCCUCGCGACCGUCAACCCGCGCCGUGAUUCGGAUGGAGCGAGAAGCUUCCGCGGGGAACAUGGACGAGAAAGUGGCCCCUCGGCGUCGGGCCGCCAGCGUCAUACCGUCGCUGUGCUCCGUGGCGUCCAUCGCCUUCUGCGUGGUGCUCAGCAUCCACGCAGCAGACGUCAGGCGCCGGCUGGCUGGCUUGGAGCGCGGUGUGGACGCGUCGACGCGCGCACCGGCCGACGAUUUGGAUGCGUUGAUUGCGCAAAAAGUCAACGAGAUGGUCUCCCAGCGUUCUUAUGAGCAAUUUGUCAAGAUACGGAGCGCUCGGCAAGCAUCACCUGAAUGCAACUGUCCUCCAGGACCUCCGGGAAAGCGAGGAAGGAGAGGCCGCAAUGGAGAACCUGGUAUGUGUGGCCCUCCUGGUCCGAAAGGUCAAAAGGGGGAUCAAGGCGACCAGGGACCACGGAUGGUCUUCCCUAAGAUCAAUCACGGCUUUCUUUCCGCUGACCAGCAGCUCAUAAAGCGACGUCUCAUUAAGGGAGACCAGGGGCAAGCAGGACCACCUGGGCCUCCGGGGCCCCCGGGUCCUCCGGGCCCACGGGGGCCCCCAGGGGACACUGGCAAAGACGGGCCGAGGGGCGUACCGGGCGUACCAGGUGAUCAAGGGAAUCCAGGAGAAAUAGGACCUGCGGGACCUGAGGGGCCUCCAGGACUCAAGGGUUCACUGGGGCCUCCUGGUAUUCCAGGUGUUGAUGGACUGAAGGGGGAUCUUGGCAUCCCGGGACUGGACGGCAUCCCCGGAGCCAAGGGUGAAAUGGGAGAGCGAGGUGAAAAGGGCGAUAUGGGGGAAGAAGGACCGAGAGGGGAAACCGGUGAGAAGGGGGAUGCAGGCUCCUCAGCGGCAGGCAUCAAGGGCGAACCCGGAGAGCCCGGAAGAAGCGGACACAAGGGAGAGCCAGGACUUCCAGGGCUGCCUGGACUGCCAGGAAUUAAGGGAGAGCCAGGAUUCCUCGGUCCCCAGGGAGAGCCAGGCCUCCCAGGCCUUCCAGGAACUAAGGGGGAAAGGGGUGAGCAUGGACCGCCCGGAAAAGGCGAAAGAGGCGACCUGGGACCUGUCGGACCAAAGGGUUCGCAAGGAGAGGCAGGCACACCUGGUCCCAAAGGGUCAAAGGGCGAAAGUGGCGACAAAGGAGACUUUGGGCCUUCAGGGCCAAAGGGCCCGCCUGGGCAAAAAGGAGACCAGGGGGCCACUGAAAUUAUUGACUACAAUGGGAACAUUCAGGAAGCGUUGCAGAAGAUUACCACUCUUACAGUGACGGGCCCGCCGGGUCCUCCUGGGCCUGUAGGACCGCACGGUAUGAAGGGUGACCGUGGUAUGCCUGGCCUACCAGGACUUGACGGAGAACGCGGCUACAAGGGUUCCAAGGGAGACAUGGGAAUGCCUGGAGCAUCAGGCGACAAAGGAGCAACCGGUUUACCCGGCUUACCAGGCGUCAACGGGGUAAAGGGAGAGAAGGGAGAUUCAGGUCUGCCGGGUCCUCAAGGCUCCUCAAUUAUUGGUUCUCCGGGGGCACCAGGACCUCACGGGCCCCCUGGACCCAUGGGACCCCACGGUUUCCCUGGACCAAAGGGUGAACCCGGUUUGCACGGUACAAAGGGGGCACGCGGAGAACCAGGCCACAAGGGAGACCGAGGACCAUUAGGUCUCCCUGGAGCCUCCGGCUUGGACGGCAAGCCCGGGAUUAGGGGCACAGACGGGCCUUCAGGUCCAGCUGGUCCUGCCGGCCCAAAGGGGGACAGAGGCGAGCGAGGGGCUGCGGGGGACCCGGGACCGAGGGGACCCUACGGACUACCUGGAGCGGCAGGAACACCGGGCUUGGAUGGGUUGCCGGGUAUGAGAGGAGAGAAAGGCGACAGUGGGGAAAGAGGAGAGAAGGGGGAGAAGGGAAAGAAAGGCAAAAAAGGGCCUAAGGGCGAGAAAGGAGAACAGGGUGCCCCUGGAUUAGAUGCACCCUGCCCAUUGGUAUGUUGCAACUGUGAGCUGGAAGUCGCGUCCCAGCCGCGUAGGGUGCUCUCCCCGAACGAGGGUAACGGGGGGGCGCCUUGUGGCCACACCGACGCCCAACUAACCGCCCCGCGUCGAAAAAUAUCCCCAAAGCCAAGCUGAGGCCGAAUUGUGGCAUCGGCAAGGUCACGAGGCGACCCCGCCAUCGCAUGCUCGCUCAGGCCUCUCGGUCGUCCUUCUGUCCCUGUAACACUCCGAGGUCAUUUUUGCAAACAGGGUUUCCGGGGAUUUAAGGGUGAAAAGGGGGAACCAGGGCAGCCCGGUCUGGACGGGCUGGAUGCCCCAUGCCAAUUGGGUCCCGAUGGCUUACCGAUGCCUGGCUGCUGGCAGAAGUGAUCACUCUAACCUGAAACGCAUGGAGUUUGUAAAUAUUCUUUUUUUUUUUUUGUAUUUAUAGUUUUUUUUUUAAUGGGAUAAAAAAAUCUAAAAAAGAAGAAGCCUACGUGUAUGAGGAUGCAAAACCAACACCAACAACAAAAGAAACCCUGGGAUGCAUCACGCCCCAAAAGCUGCUUCUACUCAUAUCACAUCAUAGUGUGGAAAAAAAAAAAAACGUGUCUGCUCUCUCUCUCUCACAACCACAUUGUUCGUGUGAGCAUGUUGGUUGAUUCAUUUGAAGCUUGUGGCACAACUUUACAGCUUCCCACACUGGAGUGCCACAGGGCUCUUGCAUGGGUCCACUUGGACUCAGAGACAGGAAGAUUAUUGUUUUGUGUUGUCACCCCGCCCACCCACUCACGCAGCAUCAAAAAUACAAAACCUCGCCUAAGCAUGUUAUGUCUUGUGCGCACACUGUUUUGGCUUCUGCAGAGGAAAAACUAACAACAACAAGAGACAUUCUUUUUUUUUUUCUUUUUUCUUUUAAUUUCCACUUUUGCUGAAUCUUCCCAAGGGAGUCACGCCAUGGCUGGUCGCCUGAAAAGUCCCGAAAAUGAAAGAUGUUUGUUGCUUUAAUGCGCCCGCCCACCGUGCCUGCAAGAGGCGUUGAUGGCCCCCGCCCCGCCGGGUCCGGGGAGCCCGAACCUCCUUCGGCCGCACUGAUAACAAUCCAUAAAGGGUUUUAGUUUGGACGGGUGCCCCCUCUGAGCCGGGGACGGUCUCCGUGGAGACAGCUGAGGAUCUACUGAGUGUUGAUGGAAUGCAACCAUGGUUUUUUUGGUUUGAUUUUAUUUGAUUUCACUUUUGGUUAUCUUGCUAAAACGCAAGCGACCCGACAUGUUGCGUCGUCUGUUUUGUUGUCAGUCCAAAAGAGAGUAUUUGAGAAUGAAUUCAACCGACUCCAACUGACGAUAACAAAAAUGUGAUGCGACAGGAUGUCAGGCUGGAGGCGCUUUUGGCAAUAUGACGCGACAAUUAGGUUUUGUUUUCUUAUUGUUUAAUUGUUUUCUACGUGGUGUAAGAUAGCCUUUGGUGCCUGAAGCUUUUAUUCAUUCCUUGACCACAAACUUUAUAGCGUCUUUUCAUUUAUUGUGUUUAUUGGAGCAGAAUUGGUGUGGUAAAAUGUGUUGUAUUAUUUUCUUCUUAAUUGUUCGGCUUCAAUUGGGCGCUAACAAAAAAAAAACACACACAAAUGUUACUUGGAGGUGUCGGUUCACUGCAUGUGCUUUUGUAUUCGUGUUAUAUCGCAAGUCCUGAAUGGAACACCCUCGAGGCCAUUUUGGUUGUGUUCUCUUUAUUUGUGGUAUCUUAUUUCCAACUAUGCGGAAGGAUAUUCACCAGUUUCUUUCCUGUCUAUGUAUGACGUGAUUUCUUUGCAUAUACGAUGUAUUUGUAUUUGAUGAUUUAAUUUAUUUUUCUAUGUUUUCUUGGAUUGCUUGGGUUUUCGAAAGCGGCAUUCCUGCGUGACACUCGGGCGUUGCCGUGAUGACACAUCUGCUUUUAUCUCGGUGACCUGAAUGUUGUUGGGCCCAGCCAAUGGAUGCGUUUGUUUUGCUUUUCUAUUGUCCCUUGUUUGCAUUGAAUGUAGAUGCUCGCUCUCUCUUUCUCUCUCUCACACACAUGCGUGUGUAUGUGUUCUGUACAGUGGAUGUGUUAAUGUACUGAUGAGAUGUGUGCUCAUUUAACAAAAAGUGCAAUUUUAUGAUGUGUGUGUGUGUGUAUGAAUGCAUUUGCCUGAUUUGUGUGUCCUUCCCAUUUCAAUUAUAGGCUACCCCUUUGCGGGUGUGGACAAUUAAUAGAAAACUCGUCUUUACUGCCCCAUUCCUCCAGUGUGUUUCCACAAAAAAUGUUCCCGUUUGAUUUAGUUGUUUGUUCUCACAUGGUGCUGUGUCUUUAGCAUGUGCAGAUUUUUUAAUUUCUUUUUUUUAAUCAUGUGCACAAGUGCCAAAGUAAUCCAAUCCAAUAUUUUUGCCAUUUGAAAAUGUACAAAAGACUAUGAAAUGCCACGUGUGGUUUUGGAACAAAGGACAAACAGUUGUGUGAGUUGAAAUAUAUUUUUAUUCUUUUUGUUUGUUGUUUGAAGUUUAUGUUCUGCAUUUGUACUAUGUUUGUUAGUUGUUUUUUUUACCCAUUUGAUUGACAUUUCUUUACAAAAAAAAAACGGAUCCAUGUGGUAAAACUUAUGUGACUGUACUGUUGGAGCCAAAUAAACGCAGUCUUUCAAAUUCA